rnacentral:lncRNA from 1 species
GUGGAUUUACGGAGGAAGGUUUGAUUGAAUCUCUCAAUCUGAUGGAAUGAUGGAUCGAAGUGAUUGACUCUCUCAAUCUGUGUACUGAGAUUGUUUGAUUUUCACAAACAAACUAGACUCACGAAAUCAAUAAGACAGCAAAGAAUCUCUCUUGAAUCCUAAAGACCGUUAUUUUAUACAAAGAACAACUUUGAUAAAACUGAAUAAACUUUCUAUUAACUUGGUGAUUAAGGGUGUCUCUUUAGAAUGACUAUCUA